UACGUAGGGGGCAAGCGUUGUCCGGAAUCAUUGGGCGUAAAGCGCACGUAGGCGGAUCGAUCAGUCAGGGGUGAAAUCCCAGGGCUCAACCCUGGAACUGCCUUUGAUACUGUCGAUCUGGAGUAUGGAAGAGGUGAGUGGAAUUCCGAGUGUAGAGGUGAAAUUCGUAGAUAUUCGGAGGAACACCAGUGGCGAAGGCGGCUCACUGGUCCAUUACUGACGCUGAGGUGCGAAAGCGUGGGGAGCAAACAGG
rnacentral:rRNA from 1 species